rnacentral:rRNA from 1 species
AGUGAACGCUGGCGGUAGGCCUAACACAUGCAAGUCGAACGGCAGCACAGUAAGAGCUUGCUCUUACGGGUGGCGAGUGGCGGACGGGUGAGGAAUACAUCGGAAUCUACUUUUUCGUGGGGGAUAACGUAGGGAAACUUACGCUAAUACCGCAUACGACCUACGGGUGAAAGCAGGGGAUCUUCGGACCUUGCGCGAUUGAAGGAGCCGAUGUCGGAUUAGCUAGUUGGCGGGGUAAAGGCCCACCAGGGCGACGAUCCGUAGCUGGUCUGAGAGGAUGAUCAGCCACACUGGAACUGAGACACGGUCCAGACUCCUACGGGAGGCAGCAGUGGGGAAUAUUGGACAAUGGGCGCAAGCCUGAUCCAGCCAUACCGCGUGGGUGAAGAAGGCCUUCGGGUUGUAAAGCCCUUUUGUUGGGAAAGAAAAGCAGCAGGUUAAUACCCCGCUGUUCUGACGGUACCCAAAGAAUAAGCACCGGCUAACUUCGUG